rnacentral:rRNA from 1 species
UACGUAGGGUGCAAGCGUUAAUCGGAAUUACUGGGCGUAAAGCGUGCGCAGGCUGUUUUGUAAGUCAGAUGUGAAAUCCCUGAGCUCAACUUAGGAACUGCGUUUGAAACUACAAGACUAGAAUAUGUCAGAGGGGGGUAGAAUUCCACGUGUAGCAGUGAAAUGCGUAGAGAUGUGGAGGAAUACCAAUGGCGAAGGCAGCCCCCUGGGAUAAUAUUGACGCUCAUGCACGAA